UUUUUGUGUUCACUUUAUUGACUUCCCUGUUUGAUUUACAAUUGUCCAGAUUUGCUCUCUCUUUUGCAACCCGUCGCAAUUCGGUUUAAAGAGCUGCUAACAGCGCAGGCAAUAAAAAUAAGGCGCGUCCUCGAAAUCUGCUUCAUUAAAAGAAAAGAUAGUCAGUCUAAGAGGAGGUUCCAGGCGAGGUAAGGCAUGGCCUCGCGUUUCAAAGCUCCUGUACGUCGAAGGAGGCCAGAGCAGUCCUGGGAGGAAUUGCGUAAGACGGAGCACAUCUGCAGAUGUAACGAACUUCCUGAGCUUACAGGAAGGACUCCGCAACACAAAGCUGUUGGGAAAACUUUAGCGGAGUGUUACAAUUUGAGCUGCAGCAGAAAUGGAAAGAACCGUGCUGGUUUCCUGCUUUUCUCUAGCGUAACGGGGGUGUCUCACUGCCGCGUCGCCAUUGAGUUGGGAGCUGUUUCGGAAUUUGGAGGCUGCCCCCCGGAUCUGACUGAGGAAUGUGGCAAGGGAUCGAGACCAAACUGGACACCACUUUACUCUCGCUCUUGUCUUCCACCUUUUGUUUCGUAAAACUGGCUUCGGGAUCUCGCCGCCUGACCCUUGCCCUCCCCAACACUUGUGCAGAGGAGUCUGUCAGAGCUCUGCUUGUGCUGACCUUUAAGCAGAUAUUUCCCAAAUGUGUUCUUGUUUUUUUUGUUUGAGACUGGCGAUGCGACCACUUCCUUUUAACCACGCGGCGUGUCUAAUAUCACCAUGAACAGUAGUGAGGGAUACCAGCACUCAAUUCUUUCCAACUUGUUGGGAAAAAAAAGGCAAGAAAAUCACCUCCAUCAGACAUGUAGCUGCUGUCUACAUCAGCAGACGUGGGGCAGCUACUGUAGGAGUUGUGUAGGAGCUAAUUUCUCAUGGUCAGGCUCUGCUUGGCCAAUUAUGACAUUACGGUUUGCCCCCAGUCAGAAGAACAUAUGAGCAAAAUUGCUUAAGUACAUAAGAGCACAGGAGCAUAACAGCAUAAGAACAAUCAAGAGGAGACCACUCAAGCCUUCUGACCCGUUUGGUAGUUAGCAGAAAAAUGAUCCAAGGAUAUCAUCCAACCAUUUCUUGAGAGAUCCUUCGUUGCAUAGCUUGUUCCAGACUCCCACCACCCUUUGAGUAAAGAAAUGCCUCUUGUUAACUGUUUUAAAUGCAUUUCCACAUGGUUCCCACUUGUGUGGAACUACUUAUUUGAAACCUAUUUAUCAUUUAACCCGUUUUGCAAUUUAUUAUAUAUCAUAUUAAAUGUACAUUUUUGAAAUUAUUUUAUUUUUGUGCUAGUGCGAUAUGUGUUUCCAAACCUGUUAUAAUCCCUAUACAUUGAGACGUUAAAUCAGACAAACAAAUUGCCCGAUUAUACAAAGAAUGUUAGCCUAAUAUGUCACAGAUCCUAUCGCACCUCAGGAUAAGGAUGAUAUAUUGUGUUGAGUUAAUUUGCUUUAUAAUUGCACUUCUAACUUAAUUUCACAAUAUCUUACAGUCGUCUGUGUGAAGUUCUUUCCAACUGUUAGCACUUUCUCACGUCCGAAACUCUCUUCUCUUCAGGUCGCAAAACCUAUUGACUCGCAACUAUAAACACUGAUCACGCAAUCUGAAGAAAGGCAUUUUCUAACUAAACUAAAAUGGGUCCCUUUUUGCAGCCACCUUGGAUCUGUGAAAGGCAUACGACUCAUGUGUAACUCAUAGAAGGGUGGCUUUGAAAACAAAUGAUCAAUUUUGUGGGGAGAAAUCUGGGAUUGUUAAGAUUCGAACAGGUUGUUUUGAAUCUUAACAACCCCUGUAGUACCAACUGUAACAGGUUGUACUGUGUGCUGGGUUUUCUAGGUACUUUUCUAUUGGGAAGGCAUGUAAACAGAUAGAACAAAGGUCCUGGUUAUUGUACCUGGAAGUUAAACACACAUCUGGGUGUGUUCCAAAGAUCCAGGCUUUAUACAGGAUAGGAGAGCCCUUGGAUUGGAGAUAGUCUGGCUUUGUUCCAUAUGGAAAAAACAAAUCGGUCACAGUAUGCACAGUUGCAAACAUUACUGUGAGUGCCCUGCGUCUCACAUCAGGUGGUUCAGUGCAUCUUGUUGAGAUUAAGUAGCGUCUGGACACCUACCAUUGACAUGAAACAGCGUUUAAUACAACUUAAGGAGUCUGUGAAUUAGUUCUGGCUGCAGCUGUGCUUUGCUCUCCAUAUUCCUCGCAUCUUUUUGGAACAAAAAAAAAAUAUUUCAAUGCUAGUGGGUGUUAUUUAUACAUGUUUAUUUAUAGUUCUGCCACUGUCAGGUGCUGUUCAGAAUCUCAGAGGGGUUUGGGGUAUGUGUCAGCAGCACAGUACUUUCAGCAGCUGUGUAAAAUGGAUUUUGGAUCGGCUAAGAAAAAGCAUGAGCAAUAUUCCUUCAGUUACAUAAAAGAAUGAAUUUUGGAGCACAAGAAGACCUUUAAAUCUUACAGGGCUUAUGGGGGACAAAACGCACACUUAGGAGCAUAAAAAAUGAAUGUAUUAUGCAGGAAGCAAGAAUUUGUGAAUGUGAAUGUAUUAUGCAGGAAGCAAGAAUUUGUGAAUGUGAAUGUAUUAUGCAGGAAGCAAGAAUUUGUUUGUGCUAGAGACAAGCGCUAAGUACAACACCCCUGUAAUUCAUUCUCAUUAGUUUGACACAAACUUAGUAGGUCACUGCAUUUCCAGUGUUUCUGAAUAUUUUCCGGGGAGAACAGAUUGAAUUCUUUGCUGCUAUUACAUGAAGGAAAAGACUGUUAAAGGCUAACCCUAUCCACUGUGCACUGUUCAGUGAUCAGCUGGCAGCAGUUUGGUGCAAUGGUCAGUAUUUUCAAAUUGUAAUUUAAUGGGUUCAGAUCUUUGUAGUAAUACUGCUGUUGCAACCUCGAACAAAGUGCUUCACCUGAAUUGUUCAAAUUAACCCCCUGCUGUAUAAAUAGGUGCAAAUAUAAGCUGCUUUGGAUAAAAAGGGCAAACAAAUAAAUUGGUUAGCUGCACAGACAUCAAUCUGUAAAAAAAACAACAAAUUGCUCUGGAAUUACCUUUUCCAGUGUGGAUACUGUUUUCUACUGUAAAGCCAACAGCACAUCUGUUUAAGAGCAAUGUCAAACAGAAAAAUGAGUCACAAUUGUAGCAUUGCUGGAUUAUGUAGUAGGUCUUUCCCAGAGAUAAUAUAACCAGCACACAAAUCAGUAAUAAUUUGUGUAACUAUUAAUAUAGCGCUGAUUUUACCUCACCAGAUAUGUGUGGAUUACUGUACCUCGUUAUCUAAUGUUGUAAGUUUCCACUGUUUGAUUGAUUCUUUAAUAAUAAGCCUGAAAUGACAGCUGAAGGCAUGUCUCUGGCUUUGUGGCUUGACUCUGCGAUUGUUUUAGAGCGUGACAAUGACCAGCUGGUACA